UAGGGAAUAUUGGACAAUGGGCGAAAGCCUGAUCCAGCCAUGCCGCGUGAGUGAAGAAGGCCUUAGGGUUGUAAAGCUCUUUUAGUGGGGAAGAUAAUGACUGUACCCACAGAAAAAGCCCCGGCUAACUUCGUGCCAGCAGCCGCGGUAAUACGAAGGGGGCUAGCGUUGUUCGGAAUCACUGGGCGUAAAGCGGGUGUAGGUGGAUGUUUAAGUGAGGGGUGAAAGCCCAAGGCUCAACCUUGGAACGGCCUCUCAUACUGAGCAUCUAGAGUCUGGAAGGGGGAAAUGGAAUUCCGAGUGUAGAGGUGAAAUUCGUAGAUAUUCGGAGGAACACCAGUGGCGAAGGCGAUUUCCUGGUACAUGACUGACACUCAGACCCGAA
rnacentral:rRNA from 1 species